rnacentral:tRNA from 1 species
GGGCCCGUGAGGUAGCUAGGACUAGACCGUGAGUCAACCUGGGGGCUUUCGGAGCCCCAUGUCGCGGGUUCAAAUCCCGCCGGGCUCACCA